rnacentral:rRNA from 1 species
UAGGGAAUCUUCCACAAUGGACGCAAGUCUGAUGGAGCAACGCCGCGUGAGUGAAGAAGGUUUUCGGACCGUAAAGCUCUGUUGUUGGUGAAGAAGGAUAGAGGUAGUAACUGGCCUUUAUUUGACGGUAAUCAACCAGAAAGUCACGGCUAACUACGUGCCAGCAGCCGCGGUAAUACGUAGGUGGCAAGCGUUGUCCGGAUUUAUUGGGCGUAAAGCGAGCGCAGGCGGAAGAAUAAGUCUGAUGUGAAAGCCCCCGGCUUAACCGAGGAAUUGCAUCGGAAACUGUUUUUCUUGAGUGCAGAAGAGGAGAGUAGAACUCCAUGUGUAGCGGUGGAAUGCGUAGAUAUAUGGAAGAAUACCAGUGGCGAAGGCGGCUCUCUGGUCUGCAACUGACGCUGAGGCUCGAAAGCAUGGGUAGCGAACAGGAUUAGAUACCCUGGUAGUCCAUGCCGUAAACGAUGAGUGCUAAGUGU